rnacentral:rRNA from 1 species
AUUGAACGCUGGCGGCAGGCCUAACACAUGCAAGUCGAACGAGUGGCGGACGUGUGAGUAAUGUCUGGGAAACUGCCUGAUGGGGGGGGAUAACUAUUGGAAACGGUAGUUAAUACCGCAUACCAUCAGAUGUGCCUCGAUGGGAUUAGCUCGUUGGUGGGGGAACGGCUCACCAAGGCGACGAUCCCUAGCUGGUUUUAGAGGAUGACCAGCCACACUGGGACUGAGACACGGUCCAGACUCCUCCGGGAGGCAGCAGUGGGGAAUAUUGCACAAUGGGCGCAAGCCUGAUGCAGCCAUGCGGCGUGUAUGAAGAAGGCCUUCGGGUUGUAAAGUACUUUCAGCGGGGAGGCGUUACCCGCAGAAGAAGCACCGGCUAACUCCGUGCCAGCAGCCGCGGUAAUUC